UACGGAGGGUGCAAGCGUUAUCCGGAUUCACUGGGUUUAAAGGGUGCGUAGGCGGGUAAGUAAGUCCGUGGUGAAAUCUCUGAGCUUAACUCAGAAACUGCCGUGGAUACUAUUUGCCUUGAAUAUUGUGGAGGUGAGCGGAAUAUGUCAUGUAGCAGUGAAAUGCUUAGAUAUGACAUAGAACACCAAUUGCGAAGGCAGCUCACUACACAAUGAUUGACGCUGAGGCACGAAAGCGUGGGGAUCAAACAGG
rnacentral:rRNA from 1 species